GUAAGAAGGGAAACCCAUAUGUGUGAUCAUAAAAAGCUUUUCAAAACCACAUCAAAAGGCUGACAAGUCUUUAUAUCAUUGUAAAUGUCAUUUGUGUGAAAUGAUAUAUAGCAUGUCAGACUGAUUAUGUAUAACUUAUUUAGAAUACCAUUAGCAUUACAUCUAUACCAUUAAAAGAGAAUUUCACAGGAUUUUUCAGGGCUG